rnacentral:rRNA from 1 species
UGUGUAGGCGGCAGGAAAAGUUUGGUGUGAAAUCUUCGGGCUCAACCCGGAAACUGCACUGAAUACUCUCUUGCUAGAGGAUCGGAGGGGAGACUGGAAUUCUCGGUGUAGCAGUGAAAUGCGUAGAUAUCGAGAGGAACACCAAUAGCGAAGGCAAGUCUCUGGACGAUUCCUGACGCUGAGGCACGAAAGCUAGGGGAGCAAACAGGAUUAGAUACCCUGGUAGUCC